rnacentral:lncRNA from 1 species
UAAUAAUUUAAUAGUUUAAAUCUAAAAUCAAUAUGAAAAGAACUUUUAAACUUUAUUCCUAAAGAUGUCAAACAGGUCGGUUUGUUCUGUCCCGUCCUGUACCGUCGCGGACUCUUUAUCGCCGGUCAAGGCAAGCCUGUCUCGUGCGGGCUCUUUAUCUCGCGGGUCAAGGCGGGCUUGUCUCACGCGGACUGCGGUCUCCAAAAGGUCGGCCCGGGGCCGCCCAAG